UUUGUGCAUUCCAGAUAUUUUUCAGGUUUGGCUCGAGUAUUCUCCUUUCAUGUGCAGAGUAAGUUCUUUUGUUCUCUUUUCGCUCCUUUCUUUCUCGAGAAAUAUACGCUAAUCCCUUCCCCUCUAAUUGAGUAAUAGGAAUUGCUACUUGUCAAUCUAUAUAAUAGAAAUUUAUUCGUUCUACAUGUUCUUCAAACUAUGAUUUCAGCUCUUUUCAUCUUUCAACGAGAGUUUCAAUUAAUUUUAGGUAUUUUGUCAUGAUGAAAAAGACAAGUAGCACAUAAUGAGAGGAUACAUAAAACUGGAUAAAAAGGAUAUGACUUCUGAUUAGGCUAAGGUCAUUCUUUGCAACUGUCUUUUUGCGUUGACAAAGAAGAAAGAAAGAACUAUGCAGUUCUACAGGUUCGAUUUAGAAACACAAAGGCUCAAAAAUCUAAAUGGGGGUUACAUAUUCCCGUUUCAUUGGAGGUGGGAAAAACAAAAUCUGAUAUUUCGACGUGGUACAAGUAAGUAUAAUUCUCCAAUCCUCAUAUUAUGUUUGGCUUAUUCCAUAUAUGGUAUCUCAACUCUAUUUUGGUGGUAGUAGAGCUCUCUCUUGCAAUUUGAAAAUGAUAAUUGUACCAAAGGUUGUUAUUAUGUUGGCUUAACAGUUGUUUUUUUCAUGACACGAGAUAGUAAAAGCUUAAUAUUGUAUUCUUAAUCAGGUUAGGUUAGAGAAUGAAAUAUGUCUUGUAUUGCUCAGGUAAUCUAACUUACAAAAUUCUGAUAUUUGUAUUCUUACUUAUUUUGAUAGUUGAAUAAAAUACUGCAUGAUAAAUAAAUUAGAAAAAAAGUUCAAAUAUGCCAUCGAAUUUUGAGAAAAGGCUCAAGGCUCAUCUCCAACUUCUCAUUAUAGACAAAAAUCUUGGUAACAACUUCAAAACCCCCCAUCGAUAUAUUAGAUAGAAAUAGCAAUGCACAACCAACUAUAAGUAACAAUUUCAUCCAUUUAAUAGCUAUCAGGAAGCUCUAAUCCACCAAAAUUAUCAUAUAGUGUAUUAACCCUCCUGUCCUUAUUCUUCAUGAAUAUUGAGAAAAGACAAUAAUGCUACGCAUAUGCACACAAGAAAUAUCUUAACCAAAUCUAGCUUUCCCAGAUUAUUGCACAAUUCACAAACCAACUUACCCAGUCAACAAUGUCGUCGACAUAGUGUUGAGCUUUAUCAAUUGACCGACUUCCAAUUAUAAUCUCCAAAGCAUAAUUCCAAGAGAGAUGACAUCAUACACUUUCAACCAAUUUUCCCAGUAAAAGCAAACUCGAGAGCUAAAUACCUGCAAAAUAUAAGAUGUUAAUGAAAGAAAAGAUAUGGAGAGCUCAAAUGUAUAUAUAUACAUAGACCAUAAAUGUAUCGGAAUUAAACCUUGAUUCAAUGUGCUAUAGGUACUGCAAACUUAGACUACACAAGGAUGAAAACAGAAACGACUUUAGUAGAUAAUGAAAAUAAGUAUUAUCCAAAAGUUUCCAUCACUCGUGUGGAGACGUGCAUAUCAGUAUCAUAAUUCAACCUCUCAAGCCUAAAAUCAGCAUCCCUGGAUCACAAAUAACAAAUGCAUCUAGCAACCAACUUAUAUAUAUAAAACUUGCAGGGGUGCUCAUGCAAUCAACAAUAAACCGCAGAGGUGCUAAGCACAAUGUGAAUUUAGUGGGCUCAAUUUUUCAUUGUUUCAUCUUGAUUCAUUAUACCAAAAGAAAAUUAUUUUAUCUCGCGUUUGGUUGGUGGAAUAAGGAAUAACAUCAACAUUGUACGGUUGAUUAUUCUCUAAUAUCAGCCAUUUUUGUUAGAUAAUGAUUGUCAAUCCCCACUCUCCUAUUUGACUAUUUCAUUUUAUUAGUGACAGUAAUAGAUACUACCUUUAGGUUAACUGUUGUAAAGGCUAUGAUAAGAGGUUUAACAAAGUUGAGCUGGGAACACGUUGAUGUUUGCUUCAAUUGACGUAAACAAUGAUGUUUUCCCCUACGGCAAUUUAGACAUAUAUUUUCUUAUAGUUGCUGAUUCAUCCUUAAGAAAAUAACAGAUUACUGUAAAAUGAAUAACUAUUAAGUAGAUAUGCAGAACUACUACUAAAAAAAUAUAUGCUGAAAAGAAAAAGAGCCUCUUUAUCACUCAAGAUCACGAUUUUUUCAUUAGUUAACUUUAGCGCUCCUUUAAAAGAUAUGUAAAAUGUAUCUUUUAUUACAAUCUGUUUGUUACUGUAAUUUUUUAACAAUAUGACCCAAAGAUAAACAAAUUAUCCGUCUACUCUUCCAAUUCCAUAGAUGAUAUUUGUUGUCACUCCUAUACCUUUGGAAGAUAUGGGCCUUAUUUUGAUCACCGUGUGAUCGUGAUCUUACAAUUUUUUGUUGGUCAGUUUCUUAUAGAGCAACCAUAUUGGAGUAGAUUUAACGUUUGCAAUCUUAUUGCAAACUGAUGAUUGAGUCAUCAAGAACUCCAGUUUAUAUUAAUAGGAGUUGGGUUUACUUAUUUCUUCACCAUUAUCUCCUCAAAGCUUCUCUGCUCUUCUGGUCUUUCUUUUUUCAAUAAUAGAUGUAGAUAUUGAAAAUUCAAGUUCAUCCAUUUUUCAUCUCUGUUGUAUACUAUGUAUGCAUGUAUCAACUUGUUUUUUUUUCAAGUUUACAUAUUCUAAUUUAGAUAAAUAUGUCUUCUUCUUUCUUCUUUGCUCAUUAUUAAUUAGGAAUUGUGUUUGCAUUUGAGCUACAUGUAGCUUCGAUGCUCAGGAAAAACUUCAUUUAGAUACAAAUAUCAUGGACAUUUAAGUCACAAUUUCUUAGUUGACAUAAGUCAAAUGGAGAUUGAAGAGCUGUAACUAUGCAUAGAUCUUCCCCAGAAAUGUACAGAUAACCUCAAAAAGACUUAUCUUGACGUUGGAGAUAGGAGUAAUACAAAGAGGGAAUUCGUGGAGAGCCAGUUGGCCAAGGCCAUUUGUAUCAUCAAAACUUGUUUAUUUGGCCAUUGGUUCAGGUGUAGCAGCAAUGCUUCAGGUGGGUUGUUGGACGCUUACUGUAGAGCGACAAGUUGUUGCGACUAAGGGUGUUGUAUUUAAAAAGUGUAUACAUGGAAGUUAUUGGGAAAAUGACUGGUGACAUUUUUAUCAUAAAAGAUGGCUAGGUGGGGAAGACGAUAAGGUGCAUAGCAAUGUUUAUAAGAGGAUUUGGUAUUGGGUUCAUCAAGGGGUAGCUUCUAGCACUUGUUAUGGUUUCACUUAUUGUUCCACAAAACCUAUCUCUCUCAUUUAAAUCUCACUUUAUGUUUGUAAGUUGCAUCAUUCACAGGUGAAAAACAGGUUCUCGAGGAGUAUAACAAGUCCUUACAAAAGGCAUACAGAUCUGGUAUAGAUGAAGUACUUGCAAGUGGCUUCGGCGUUGGAUCGUCCCAAUUUAUUCUCUUCUGCAAUUAUGCUUUGGCUUUGUGGUAUGGUGGAAAGAUGAUCUUGGAGAAAGAUUACACACGAGGUUCAGUCUUGACCAUAACUCUAGCUGUGCUAACUGCUUCAAUGUCAAUAGGUGAUGUAUCUCUUUGCUUUGCUGCAUUUGCAGCAGGGAAAGCUGGUGCUUUUAAGAUGCUUGAGACUAUAAACAGAAAUUUAGAGAUUGAUGUGUACAACAGAGGAAUAAUUUUUUAUGACAUAUGUGGAGAUAUAGAGAUAAAAACAUGCAUGUUUUAACUAUCCAAGCAGAUCAACAGAGAGAAUACUCAACGAGUUCUCAUUGUUAAUCCCAAACGGAAACUUUACUGUUUUAGUUGGUGGAAGCGGAAGUGGCAAGUCCACAAUUAUUAGUUUAAUUGAGACAUUCUAUGAUCCACAAUCAAGGAAAUUUUUAAUAGACGGGCGUAAUUUCAAAAACUUUCAAAGUAUCUGAACUUGAAACAUUUAUUUGUAUAGACAAAUGUGUAUGAAUUAGCAUAUUUGUCCGA